rnacentral:piRNA from 1 species
UACAUAGGUGAAGAUUCCACAAUUGCCC